AUUUUAAUUUUAGAAAGUGAACUGACCAACUUUUUCUGUGUCUUUUACAAAUAACGGUUUUAUAGUUAUUCCUGAAUGUCCUUUUUCCGUACGAGGGAAUUACACUACACAUGUCUUUCAAAACAUUUCACAUUAUCAAUCAAUCAGCAAGGAAUUUCAAAUACAAGACAGAAACAAGAACACAUUUGUACUUUCAAGCCAUUUAUUCUUUUCAGCACAGAGCCCUGACAUUAACACAUGAAAUGAAUGACUGCACUGAGUGUGUUGACUGAGACAACAUUUUAGGAAGUAUUUUGUGUAACUGCAAAUCAGAACUUUGAUCAGGCAAUUUUUAUGCUUCCUUCAGGAGGAGACUGUAUGGACGAAUAGCGCCCAGUACGAUAUUCUUCUCUAACUCGGCUGGUGUGCCUGCAGGGACGGGCACGAGCCAGUACUCUGGGUAGGAACAAACCUGCCUGACUUUGGGGUUUAUCCUGUUCUGCAGGCACACUUUGUAGGUCUUCCCAUUCUUCUGGGAGACGAAGGUCUUGACGUAGCCAUGUGUUUCUGCCACUUUCACAUCAGGAGUUGAGUAGAUACCCCUGCCAUAUGCCUGCCCACUGCCCGUUAAGUAGUAGGUGCUGAUGAUGCCUUGGGCUCCAGGUAGAGAGGUGCCAUGAUAGGACACGGGCCACUCAUUGGGGUCAGAGUAGGUGCGGUACCCUGGUGAGCCCAGCCAGGCAUUGCCGUCGGGGUACUUCUCAAGAACCUUGAGAGCGAACCGCAUCCACCCGCAGGGCCGCUUGUACACCUCAUUCCCCCUCAUUAACGUUGUGGUGUCGUGGAUGUUGGUGAAGUCGUGGUCCCACGCUGGGUCAAAGAAAUGGUCGUCCAUCACAAAGAGAUCGUUGCGGACGGCUGGCUUAGAGCGCUGGCCGACCUUCCGGAAGUUCACAUCUUUCCAGAACUCCUGGUCAAAGUAGACUGCGGUGAGCAGGUCCUACACAGUGAGUAUGUCGGGAUGAGCCUGGCUAGCGGAAAAGCUCCUGAGAAGAGGAGGGGGUGCUGCAGACUGGGGCUUGACGGUGACCCCGACCAGCGCCGAGAGGCCCUCAAAAAGGACGUCCUUGUCCAUUCUCCAAGGCAGAGGCGGACGUUACUAAGGAGAUACUAAUGAUGUGCUAGCACAAAGGAGAUGUAGAUUAUGUCUCGACUGCCUCAGUGGAAAGUGUGAAAUCAGGCGCUUAUGUCCUUAUAUACAAUUGUGGCCACCUGUGAAU
ensembl:lncRNA